GGUUGCACCCGAUUCAAGAGCCGAAUGGCUCACAGAGCUAUACAAAAAUAUAUAAACUGAAACUGAAACAGUUCAGUGACUUCUUAGUGAUGAGAAGGCUGAUCUAGCUUGACAAAGAUCGUUGACAAAAUAUUACUUGUUUGCACCAUUGUAUAGUUGUGGUACAUGGUGCAUCAUGUAAUAUAAUGCAUAUUUGGUGACCAUUAAUGUAAAAUCAAUACUGGAUUCUUCAUUAUCAUCAGCCAUGUUCAAUCCACUGCCGGAUCAAGGUCUCGUCAAACUGCCACCAACCCUCACAGCAUCUGCACAUUGAUUUCAUCGCUCCAUCUCCUUGGUGGGCAUUAUCUUGUCCAGUCCUUUGCUGCCAAUAUCGUAUUAUUCUUGACCAUCAGCCAUCAUCCCUUCUAGCCAUGUGUUCUACCCAAGCCCCCUCACUUUUCUUAAUAGAUUCAAUAAUCUCAUUAAUAUGAAGAUGUUCUCUUAUCCAUGUAUUCCACUGCUGUCUCUUAAGGUAAUUUUUAAAACCGUACGUAAUCAAAUCGUUAUGCAACAGCAGCUCUUGAUACUUAAUGCAACAGCAGCUCUGGAUACGUAAUAUAUCACAUAUCCUCUCUAUUCUCCCACUUGCUAUCUUCUCUGACUGUUUGGAACAACUUCAGGUUUCUGUACUUUUGGUUUUCUUCUUGGAUUAAGAUCACUUUCUUUUGCGCCAGGUGUAGGUGGAUUUGUAAAGUUAAAUGAUUAUUUAUAUUUUUAUUUGCCCACAUCACAUCAGAGGAUCUCGAAAGAUAAUCAGGCUGUGCCUGGAUAGUGGUAUGAGCUGCAGAGUACACUGUACUGUGCUGCUGACAGCUGUGCUCCCAUGUAUUUGCUCUCUGCGUUCACAACCUGCAGUGACCAGCACGGUGAAGUAUGAUCAAAUAACCCCAGGGUCUGUAUGGCGCCUAGAGUCAGUGGAUUGACAAAGGGCUGUUCAGGUACAUUCUGUUGUAGUUGGCCUGUAACCUCCCACUGCUGGACAAAGGCCUCUCCAAAUUCACUCCAUUCCUUUCUUUCCUGGGUUGUUCAUGCCCAGCGGUGGCCUCCGAACUCUUUGAGUUUCUUUCUCCAUCUCUUCUGCUGUCUUCAUCUGCUUCUAAUUUUCUCUACAGGUACAUACAGUAUUUUAAAAGUUAGCACGUAUUUAACCGCUUGGCAAGGAACAUGCAUGCGUAUAUUCUCCUUUCCCGGAAUCGAAGGAAGCACACUGGAUUUAGUAGAGGAUUGGGUAUUAUGGAUGACCAUGGAGGAAUCUGUGAUUGGAAGCGGUUGUACAGUAGUUAGUGCUAUGAAACCGAGGACCUUAGUUUGAUUUCCCGCCAUAGCUAACAUCACUGGCAGGCAAUAUCAGAAACAUUCCUACCCUCCAAUCUGACAAUUGUGAAGUAUAGUAAAAAGAAAAAAAACAUUACCAACAUAGCAUCCACGGUGGUGUGUAGCAUAUUAUCGAAAAGGCUCGAUUAUUGCAACUCACUAUUCUACGGGACGCCUGGCAAAAAUAAGCUGCGUGUACAAAAUUAUUUGGUACGUGCCGUCGGUUGCCGAAUGAAUACAUAGUAAGGUCACACUCAUUACACACAAAUUAACGACAAAACCUUGCUGAUCUCAAGGAGCAUAAACCAUUACGCAAACUUCGGUCAACAAAGACAGUCACUGCAGAGGUGCUUCUAUGGCCAUCUGAAAUGUUCUUCCUUCUGAUAUUAGGAAGCCACUAGAUCUAUGUACUUUGAAAUCUGGAUUAAACACUGAUUUCUUGAGAACUGCUGUUUGUGUUUAGCUUGUUGUACUUCCCCCGCACCUCGGAUUAGCACGGUUGGCUACAUACGGUGCGGAAGAAGUUAAACAUACAUACAUUGGUGAAUUGGGAAUAGCUAGAGGACUCUGGGAGCAGAUGCCACGGACAGUGAUCUGUGUGUGCAAUGCCUCCGCGUGACGUAUUCUCCUUAGGCCUCAUGUACUUACCUUGCUUAACGAAGCAGCCAAGCCGUAAUUAUGCCCUCACUCACCUGUCGCCUGACACUCUGCGCGUCUUGUAGCACAAAUUAAUUGCAUACUCAAUGGAUAGUGUGAAUGGCUUAGGGGUGAGGGGGGGGGGGGGAGUAACCUGCCACUGUGUUAGGGAUGGGAGAAAGGUUGAGUGGGGGGCUAUUUGUCCUGUUUUCCCACAGCCCCUCACCUGCUAUACGGUCGUCAGUCACCUGCCAAACAAGCUCACUGGCAUGGGAUUUAAGAGAUUCCCAUCAGCCCACAAGUCCGCUGUUCAUCUGUUAUAGCGAGCAGUGUUUACAGUUACACUUUGACUUAACGUGAACUAAGUUUGAGAAGAGCUCUUGACUUGUGGAUUAGAGCACGGGGAGGGUGGCAUUGGGAGGACAUUGUGCUGGCAGUGCGAAGGUGGCGGUUUACAGGUGGUUGACUGAGCGAGAGAGUGGGGCUCUAG